rnacentral:rRNA from 1 species
UACUUAUAAUUAAAAAAUUUUGGAAUAGUAAUAAUAAUGAAAUUUAACGGAUUUGGCGGCAAGAUAGCCAUUUAGAGGAACCUGCCCUAUAAACGAUGAACCACGAAAUACUUUGCUUUUACUUGUUAUCAGUUUGUAUACCGCUGUUGUCAGUCAGUUUUUUCAGAAAUCUUUCUAUAAUGAUAAAAUCAAUUACUUCAAGUAAAGGUGCAGCUUAUGUAAAAGAUAGAGGUGGGUUACAUUUAUAAGAUUAAAACGAAUAAAGAUUUUUUGAAAAAUUCUUUUGAAGGUGGAUUUAAAUGUAAAGUUUAAAAAAACUUGAUGUGAGCUCUAUCUUGUGUACAC